AACGAACGCUGGCGGCAGGCUUAACACAUGCAAGUCGAACGCAUCGCAAGAUGAGUGGCGGACGGGUGAGUAACGCGUGGGAAUCUACCCAUCUCUGCGGAAUAGCUCGGGGAAACUGGAAUUAAUACCGCAUACGCCCUACGGGGGAAAGAUUCAUCGGGGAUGGAUGAGCCCGCGUUGGAUUAGCUAGUUGGUGGGGUAAAGGCCUACCAAGGCGACGAGCCAUAGCUGGUCUGAGAGGAUGAUCAGCCACAUUGGGACUGAGACACGGCCCAAACUCCUACGGGAGGCAGCAGUGGGGAAUAUUGGACAAUGGGCGCAAGCCUGAUCCAGCCAUGCCGCGUGAGUGAUGAAGGCCUUAGGGUUGUAAAGCUCUUUCACCGAUGAAGAUAAUGACGGUAGUCGGAGAAGAAGCCCCGGCUAACUCCGUGCCAGCAGCCGCCGUAA
rnacentral:rRNA from 1 species